UUCUCUACGAAAAAGUUGAAGAGCAGAGGCUGAGGAUGGUGAACGGGGGCAAAAAGCAGUGUGCGUCCCGGCAUCUGAGUCUGAGCGCGCCGGGCAGGCGCUGCUUUCCGUGCGCGUAUGCAGAGCGGAUUCGGACAGGACAAGCCAGGACAGCAGGGUCCCAGCAGAGCGAACUCAGCCCCAGAUGAAAGGCUGAGGCAGCCACGCGAAGGGUACCACAGCACCCCACCCACAGAUAGGGAAAGCCCGGUCAAGAACGAGGAGGCUGUUACCCAAGACACAGAAGUCGCCGGGUACAGCUGAGCUGCAGCCUGUGCGCGGCGGGAGGAGCGAGGGCGCGCGAUCGCUGCGGAGGUCCACGAGUGUCCCAGCGCCAGGAGCAACAGUAGCGGACCCAGGCUUCUGCACAGUUGCCCCCCGGCCGCUCCUCCCCGGCUCGAAGGAGGCGGCGGCACCAUCAGGGUAGCUCCGGCUUCUCCUCGCGCCCGAGCUCGCUCACCCCGCCCUGAGCUCUGCUUCCCCGCCGCGGCCGCCGCCGUCCCUCUCCCCGGAAGGGGGCGCCGGAGAGCAGGGGCGCUUGCGCCACCUGCGCGCGUCUCAGGGGCUCGGGACGCGGAGCGGCCGGGGCUGGGUGCGGUGGAGGAUCCGGCUAACCCGAGUCGGAUGCUGACUGCAAACUCCGCACCGAGGCAGGUACGCGUGGUUCUCGCCCGGCGCGAGGAUCCGGGACCCGCGGCGCUCCCGCUGAACUGACGCACUGGUUCCCCCAGGCUCGGGCUGUCCUCAGUCGUCCCUCUUCCUUCUCGGAGAGGAGCGCAGGGUGUGGUGAGCAGGCGUUGUUUGCAGUUGUACUAGGGUCGCACGCCUAGGAGAGGGAGGAGCCGGUUCUCACCGCGGGAGGGGGAGGGGAGGCGAGGGGUGGAAUAGGCUUCUUUCCUGUUGUCUGUUCAUUUCCAAAGCCCAAGGCCAAGCCCAAGUUUGCGUUUUCCUAGUGCGAACCUACACCGCGCUUCUCAGUGAUCACAGGUUUUAUUUUUGCCCUCGGAAUAUGGAAAGAAGGAAGGAGUUGAGAGGCUACAGAGGACUUCCCAAAUCGCUUUUUGCAAACCUGAUGCAACCCUACCAAUAAAAUGUAGUCUUCAUUAAAA